rnacentral:rRNA from 1 species
GAUGAACGCUGGCGGCGUGCCUAAUACAUGCAAGUCGAGCGAACAGACGAGGAGCUUGCUCCUUUGACGUUAGCGGCGGACGGGUGAGUAACACGUGGAUAACCUACCUAUAAGACUGGGAUAACUUCGGGAAACCGGAGCUAAUACCGGAUAACAUGUUGAACCGCAUGGUUCAACAGUGAAAGACGGUCUUGCUGUCACUUAUAGAUGGAUCCGCGCCGCAUUAGCGAGUUGGUAAGGUAACGGCUUACCAAGGCAACGAUGCGUAGCCGACCUGAGAGGGUGAUCGGCCACACUGGAACUGAGACACGGUCCAGACUCCUACGGGAGGCAGCAGUAGGGAAUCUUCCGCAAUGGGCGAAAGCCUGACGGAGCAACGCCGCGUGAGUGAAGAAGGUCUUCGGAUCGUAAAACUCUGUUAUUAGGGAAGAACAAAUGUGUAAGUAACUAUGCACGUCUUGACGGUACCUAAUCAGAAAGCCACGGCUAACUACGUG